rnacentral:lncRNA from 1 species
GUCGAAUAAUGUGGGAAAAAAAAGUUCUCACGAUCACCUUUGAAGUCGGAACAGACGGCGCAUGGAAAAUCCACGUGCAAAAGGGGGAAGUAAGUAGGCAAGGAAGGAAGGAAGGAAGGAAGAAACCCUCCACCAUACCACGCCACCACCAACACCAGCGAGCAGGCGGAGUAGGACGCAGGACACACGGCUGGCUUUGGUGGUGGUUGGUGGGCACGGCACGGCCACGGCCCCCUCCUACCCGCCGACUGUCGUUGUCACCGUUUGUCCUGCUCAAUUCCUGGGAGUGCAUGAGAAUUUAAAUUAUACCCACACACACGUGCACUCACUGCAGUGCGCACAAUCAACGGGCUUUGUCUGCGGCUGUGCGUGUGUGUUGUGUAUCGGCAUGCAAGCGGGUCGCCCGAUAGGAACAGGGCGCAGGACGACCUACGCGAGGCGUGUGUGGGAACUUUUGACGGAGGACACUCGAGCAUGAAGAGCGAGGAGACAGGAGGCAAUUAUUACCCAUCCGAAUUGAAAUGCCCACUAAUGUCCUUAAUUCCCACACAGCUCACGAGAGACAGCAUCGGUAACACAAUCACCCACAAGAGGCCCAAGCUUCGUAACUUUCAAGCAAUUCUCAGAGGAAAUUUAAAUAAAACGCAAAAGAAACGGAAUUAUCGCUACAGCCACAGAGAGACAAAACACGAAUGAGAGAUAAGCAAUGCAAAAUCAAAGUUUCUCGCUCUCUCUCUCUUUGUUACGCUCAUGCGCAACAUGCAAAAAACAACAGCAAACGAAACGGCACAGCAGCGAAAAGUCAAAGUCAUCGAAAGCAGAUAAUUUCUGUGUUGCAGCUGAAUGUAAAACAAGAAGACCCACUUAAGUGCCCUCAUUCACAUAUGUUCAUGUGAG